GAUGAACGCUGGCGGCGUGCCUAACACAUGCAAGUCGAGCGAACGGACGAGAAGCUUGCGUCUCUGAUGGUAGAGGCGGACGGGUGAGUAACACGUGGAUAACCUACCUAUCAGACAGGGAUAACUUCGCGAAACCGGGACUAAUACCGGAUGAUAUAUUGAACCUCAUUGUUCAAACGUGAAAGUCGGUCUUGCUGUCACUUAUAGACGGAUCCGCGCUCCAUGAGCUAGUUGGUAAGGUAACGGCUUACCAAGGCAACGAUGCAUACCCGACCUGAGAGAGAGAUACGACACCCGGGCAGUGAGACUGAGUCAAGACACCUGCGGGAGGAAGCAGUAGGGAAUCUUCCGCAAUGGGCGAGAGGCUGACAGAGCAAAGUGGCGUAAGUCCUGAAGGUCUACGGACCGGAAAGAUCUGUUAUUAGGGAAGAACAUAUGUGUAAGUAACUGUGAACAUAUUGACGGUACCUAAUGAAAAAGCCCCGGCUAACUACGUG
rnacentral:rRNA from 1 species